UACGUAGGGCGCAAGCGUUAUCCGGAAUUAUUGGGCGUAAAGAGCUCGUAGGCGGUCUGUCGCGUCUGCUGUGAAAACUCAGGGCUUAACCCUGAGCUUGCAGUGGGUACGGGCAGACUAGAGUGCGGUAGGGGAGACUGGAAUUCCUGGUGUAGCGGUGAAAUGCGCAGAUAUCAGGAGGAACACCGGUGGCGAAGGCGGGUCUCUGGGCCGUAACUGGACGCUGGAGGAGCAGAAAGAGCAUGGGGAGCGAACAUGG
rnacentral:rRNA from 1 species